rnacentral:rRNA from 1 species
AUUGAACGCUGGCGGCAGGCCUAACACAUGCAAGUCGAACGAGUGGCGGACGGGUGAGUAAUGUCUGGGAAACUGCCCGAUGGAGGGGGAUAACUACUGGAAACGGUAGCUAAUACCGCAUACUAUCGGAUGUGCCCAUAUGGGAUUAGCUAGUAGGAGGGGUAAAGGCUCACCUAGCGGACGAUCCCUAGCUGGUCUGAGAGGAUGACCAGCCACACUGGAACUGAGACACGGUCCAGACUCCUACGUGCGGCAGCAGUGGGGAAUAUUGCACAAUGGGCGCAAGCCUGAUGCAGCCAUGCCGCGUGUAUGACGAAGGCCUUCGGUUUGUAAGGUACUUUCAGCGGGGAGGCGUUACCCGCAGAAGAAGCACCGGCUAACUCCGUGCCAGCAGCCGCGGUAAUUC